AAGCAUGCUGGCAGCAUUGAAAGAGGUCUGCGUCUGUGGGUGUGUCGCGUCUGUGAAUUUGUGAAUGGGCAGACGAUGUGUGGUACGUGUGUACGAUGUGAGUCUGUGUGAGGGAGGGAGGGAGAGAGAAGGAGAGAGAGGAGAGAAGGAGAGAGAGAGGACUCGUGCCGAGGAGAGAGCGACAAGGAGGACAAGAGCACACACCAGCAGCUCAUCCCCAUCAAAGCACAGAGAGGAGAUCGGGGCGCCAGAAUAAAACCAAAGUGCUAGACCAGACCACUGAGAGUCUCCCCACGGACCUCACACCAACCCUCUGAACAUCACCAUCAAACACUCCAGCACAGCCAUGGAACAGAAGGCCAGCUCCCCCCAGAGGCAUCCUGUGAAGAGCAGAUCCAAGUCCACCGAGGAGAUCCAGCAAGCCAAGAAGGCCUUCCACACUCCUCAGAAGUCCCUUCCUGGACGGUCGGACCUGGAAAAAGUGAAGGAAGGCCCGGAGGAGUCUGAGAGCCCAUCCUCAUCCACUGAGGAGUUUAAGUGACGGGAGCAUGAGGGCUACGGGACAACACACACGUCAUAUUUCCUACUUCUCCCUGUCCAGACACACUCACACACACACACAAAACAUAAUGAAUUAGAGUUAGAGUUUUUGCAAAGAAAGAUUUCUACAACGAUGGAGGGCUGUUGGAAUCUUGAAGUAUGAUACAAAAAAAUCCCCUUUCACAGCACUCCUGCAUACUCAUGUAUUGCCAUGCUAUGCUGAGUGGCAUAUGCCAGCUGAAUGUCCAUUCAUAAUAAAGUAGUUA